rnacentral:rRNA from 1 species
AGCCGCGGUUACACGAGGGGCCCAAACCGAUGUUCAACGGCGUAAAGUGUGAUUAGAGAUAAAAUUAAACUAAAGAAGAAUGUCCCCCAAGCUGUUAUACGCAAACGGAAAGACUGAACCACAACAACGAAAGUGACUUUAAAAUUCUUGAACUCACGAACAUUAAGAAA